UUUUUUUUUUUGGUACUGGCGAUCAAACUCGGGACCUUGCGCUUUUGAGGCAGGAGGCGGAACGACUGAGCUAAAUCCCUGGCCCAUGUAAUGGGUAUUCUUAUUUUCCACUCAACACUCAGCUUUGUGUUGGCCCUUACCCAGUGGAAAUUUUCCAGUAAUACAGAGAGGAAGCAGAAAGCGAGGCCUUGCCCAUUGUUCAGGCAAUGUGUGACAUUCUAGACUUAACCUGCACGUGUGACAUUUCUAGGUUUCUGACAAACAUGGAGAAUACCCUACACAGCGGUGACUCUCGGUACCAGCACGGUGGGGCCCUUCCCCAGUCCCUGUCACCCCGCAGGUCCCCGGAAGACCCCACAUUGACCACAGAUGGCUGGAACAAUCUCCUGCCACUUCCCCCAGGCAAGGCCCGAGUUAUUUCCAGUUUUCCCACACAAACACUGUCCUGGUCACUCCUACAUGAGCGUGCGGGAGUGACUGGGGACAGUGGGGCUGUGAGGAGUGCCAGGGCAAAUUAAAACAUUGCCACCUUACUGGAAAAUGUCCUCUUGUCAUCUGAGCGCUAACUGGUGCCCACACUCUUCCUGAAGGCCCAGGGAACACACACCCCGACCCCUGGCUUCGCCUGUCUGGUGAUGUCACCGCUGGACCAAGGGGGCCAGGGGGUGGCUACUGUGACAUCACAGGGCAGGCCUUGGGGGACAGUCUGCACUCCUCAUGGCUGUCGGCCUGUGGGAGGGGGCAGCACAGUGUCUCUCAGCUGGGGCAGCCAUGGGGAGAGGUUAGGGGUCAUUUUAAAAAUAAGAACAUGAUCCCAGGGUUUUAGACUGGGGAAAUGACAGUAAGAGCACUAGGUCACACGAAGCGUCCCUCUGCCGUGUACUCAUUCGUGCAGCAGACACUUGGCUUCCUUUACGUACCGCUCGUUGUUCCUAGCACAGAACACACAGGGAGUGACACACGGUCCCCGAUCUGUGGGACUUCCCAUGGCAGGGGAGGGAGGGGCGGUAAAUACCAGUUAGGAGCCGGAGCGUGUUACCUGGGGCAGGCACCCGGCAUGCACUGCAGAGACUGCCAAGGCGCAGAGCAGCCUUGGGCCCCGAGUGGCCCAGGGCAGUGCCUGUGUCCUCCGCCGAGACUCAGUCCUCCUCUGCAGCCACACCUCCCUUCUCUCCGCCCAAGAUUCUCCUGCACCUGCUGCCCCCUAAGCCUCCCAACCAGAGGUCACUUCAUCAGUGGCAGCUCCAUGUCCUCAGAGUGGCCUCCCCGGCCCUGGUGGUACCAGGCCCCACUGGCCCUUCUGUCCCCUCCUGGAGUAGCAGUCACACCCGCCAGAGUCAGACACACAGUCACAUGCCCAGUGAUGUGGGAACGGAAGUAGAGUGUGUACUUGAGGGUCAGGGUGGCCUAACAGGGGCCUCUACCCCUGUGCCUCUGGUGGAAUGGGGCUGUUCAGGGAGCCCUGGAAACCAUGGUCCCCACAUAGCAACAUGGGGCGGGGGCAGUGGCUCCCUCCCCAUCAGGGACACGUGCACAGACGGGCGAGGCUGGCACCCACGGCAGUGCCCGCUUCACCCCACUCUUCCUCUGCCUCCUGCUGUGUGGACAGCCAGUAUGGCCAAGCUGCCAGCAGGCCCAGGCCAGCCCUGGUGUACCUUUGUUCCACUACUGUGAACAGUUGAAUUAGAAAAAGAUAGCUGCUGCAGGCAGAAGCAUCCCUAAGGGUGUGGGACUUGGCUUCGCAAGCUAACCACAGGCUGCGUUUCAGUCCCUACCUAAUCCCCUGCCGAGGAGUUUUGAGCAGUGCACAACUGUAUAACUGUCCUAAGCAGCCCUCAUCCUGGUCUAUGGGGCAACUCUGAGGAUAAAAAUCACUUGAAGGCAGAGCUGAAAGACAGAAGCAGCCUGGGUCCUAGAUAAGGGGUCCCCCAUACCGUUCCUGGGUGGCCUUCCUCCUCUCUUUGCUUUUUUUUUUUUUAGUCAUUUAUUUGGAAAUGACUUCCAAGUUUCAGAACAGUUUCAUAAGCCAUACAGACAAUUCCCCUCCAUCCAGGCUGGCCAUUUAGUGACAUUCUCGGCCACCUGCUCUGCCAUCCUCUCCUCUCUCUCCCAUUGGGAAAUGUCAUCCAUCCCUCCUCUGCUGUCCAGCCCAUAUAAUGACCUCUGCUUUGGAAGGAAAAUGUGAAAAUGCUCCUCACAUUAUUUAUUUUGCUGUUCUAUUCUAAGUUGCAAAAUUAAAUUAUUAUUAUUACUUUUUUUUUUUUGGAGACAGGGUCUCACUAUGUAGGUCAGGCUGUUCUUGAACUCACUAUGUAGCUCAGGCUGGCCUCGAACUUGCAGCAAUCCUCCUGCCUCAGCCUCCCAAGUGCUGGGAUUACAGACGUGUGCCACCACACACAGCUCUUUUGAAAUUUAAACUGCUACCCUCUAAAACGCUCUGCCUGGUGACAUUCAGAACACCACGUGAGCCCAGCAGGAAACCCAGCAGUGUGACCAGGCCCGCCCCACGCACACUUUACCUACAGAGUCACACUGGCUAUGACACGGAGGCCCCCAUGUGCCAAGGCUGCAGCACCCCUCGAGUGCCCAUACAUGGACAGGAAGCGCGGCCCUGGCCAUGCUCUGUGAGGUCCUGGCCACUCUGACCUCACAAUGUCCUGCGUCUAUAAGAGGCCCAGGGCUCGGCCCUGCCUCACAGCCCACGAAGUUCCACCUCCUCACAGGUUGGCUGGCUCAGCUGAGGUGGUGCCCCUGCUCUGAGCCAUGUGCGGGCCAAGUUCACCUCGAGCCAUGGCCAGAUACAGAUGCUGCUGCAGCCCAAGCCAGAGCAGAGGCUACCGUAGACGCAGCCACAGACCAAGGAGGCAAUGCCAUCCCAGACGGAGACAAAGGUGCAGCCGCCGUGGGUACACCCGGAGGGCCAGAAGACGCUAACUGCAGAAGAGCGAGGCCUCCGAACUCCUGCUGAAGACUUUGCCAGACCUCAAGACCGUCUUGCCACCUCUGACAAUGCCACCCUGCACUGAUACAGGAGCCUGCUAAGGAACAAUGCCGCCUGUCAAUAAAUGUCAAACUCAUCCCACUCAUGCCUUUGUCCUUGAUGGUUCGGUAGAGGGCUGGCCUGGAGGCGGAAGGGCUUGGCAAUGUGGCACAGUGGCACAGAAAGGAUGCUGGGAAGGGGGCCAUGAGAGUGACAGCUGUCACCGGGAUCCUGUCCAAAACUCAGUGACACGACAUGAGGAACAUCUGCUCCCAAACUGCCUACCUGUCUGACCCCUGGAGCUGGGUCAUCACCUUUGAGGGCCACUGUCCUUCCACCCUGUUCUGCGGCUGGCAGCUGGCAAUGAGCCACAGGGGAAGAUGCUCUAAGCAUCAGAGGGCCAUCAGGGCUUCCUUACCCCAAGGGUAUCUGGGGGUUCCCAGAGCUGGUUAAACAUCUGCCAGUCCCCAAAGUGUCACACAAGUUCAAUUCAAAGCUGAAAUCUCGACAGUUCCUUUGGUUAUACAGGGAACAAGACAGUCACCAUUAGAAUCAUGAAUUCAAGGUUUUCCUUCAUUCAGCAGCCCUCAUUUGUGUCCCCAUUGGAGAGCAGUGGUAACUUGGCCAGGCAGCAGGGGAGCUGCCCUGCCCAUUCAGUCCUCAAGUGCCUGCAGGAGGUUAAGCAUUGUGCCCAUGACACGAACUCACCCAUCAGAGCUGCCCGAACGAAUUCCCUUCCCACAGGAUGCUGCACACCA
rnacentral:lncRNA from 1 species